UACAGAGGUGGCAAGCGUUGUUCGGGAUUACUGGGCGUAAAGGGCGCGUAGGCGGCCUACUAAGUCAGACGUGAAAUCCCCCGGCUUAACCUGGGAACUGCGUCUGAUACUGGAAGGCUUGAGGAUGGGAGAGGGAUGUAGAAUUCCAGGUGUAGCGGUGAAAUGCGUAGAUAUCAGGAGGAACACCCGUGGUGCAGACGGCUGGCUGGACCGUGACUGACGCUGAGGCACGAAAGCGUGGGUAGCAAACAGG
rnacentral:rRNA from 1 species